rnacentral:rRNA from 1 species
UACGGGGGAUGCAAGCGUUAUUCGGAAUUAUUGGGCGUAAAGGGCGCGUAGGCGGUUUUGUCGGUCAGAUGUGAAAGCCCGGGGCUCAACCCCGGACGUGCAUUUGAAACAGCAAGACUUGAGUACGGGAGAGGAAAGCGGAAUUCCUGGUGUAGAGGUGAAAUUCGUAGAUAUCUGGAGGAACACCGAUGGCGAAGGCAGCUUUCUGGACCGAUACUGACGCUGAGGCGCGAAGGCGUGGGUAGCGAACAGGAUUAGAUACCCUGGUAGUCCACGCAGUAAACGAUGUACACUCGGUGUAGCGGAUAUUAAAAUCUGCUGCGCCCAAGCUAACGCAUUAGGUGUACCGCCUGGGGAGUACGGUCGCAAGACUAAA